GUCUACGGUCAUACCACCCUGAUCGUGCCCGAUUUCGUCUGAUCUCGGAAGCUAAGCAGGGUCGGGCCUGGUUAGUACUUGGAUGGGAGAAAAUCUUGGAUCUGAAAGUA
ensembl:rRNA 5S_rRNA 5S ribosomal RNA